rnacentral:misc_RNA from 1 species
GCAAACUUGGUCAUUUAGAGGAAGUAAAAGUCGUAACAAGGUUUCCGUAGGUGAACCUGCGGAAGGAUCAUUAACGAAUUUCGAGGUUGUGCUGGUUCUCACAAGUGCACACCUCUCAUAAUUCCAUUCACACCCAUGUGCACUCUAAGAGACGUAUUUCCCCCGUUUACGUGCCGAAAGGCUUGGGAUUUCGUCUGUUUAACACACUCUUCUGUAUCAGAAUGUAUUCGGCGUUUCCGCCAAAACGAAAAUAUAACUUUCAACAACGGAUCUCUUGGUUCUCGCAUCGAUGAAGAACGCAGC